AACCCAUGGUGAGGGCACCUUCUCAAUAAAUCCUUAUACCUCUUCCAUGCAUCAUAGAAAGUCUCUAAAUCCAUUUUUACAAAAGAAAAGAUAUCAUUCCUCAAUUU
rfam:Gossypium hirsutum cultivar TM-1 chromosome 16, whole genome shotgun sequence